rnacentral:rRNA from 1 species
AAAAGAAACUAACAAGGAUUCCCUGAGUAACGGCGAGCGAAAAGGGAAUAGCCCAGCGCCGAAUCUCUUGUCCUCCGGGCAAGAAGACAUGUGGCGUUUGGGACGAGGCUUUGCCUGUGCAGAAUGGUCAUCUAAGUCCCUCUUGAACGGGGCCAUAGCCCAUGGAGGGUGCUAGGCCCGUAUGAUGACUUUAUUGUGCAGUGCGUCUCGUCCGUAGAGUCGGGUUGCUUGGGAGUGCAGCCCAAAUCAGGUGGUAAACUCCAUCUAAGGCUAAAUAUGACCACGAGACCGAUAGCGAACAAGUACCGUGAGGGAAAGUUGAAAAGAACUUUGAAGAGAGAGUUAAAAAGUACGUGAAACCUCUCGGGGGUAAGCGGGCAGAACUUGCAAGUAUUGGCUGGGAAGAUUCAGGCUUAGUGUCGGUGGCUUGUGGUGCACGUUUUGUUGCUCUUUCGGGAGUUGACUGCCGUGUGCUGUUUGGUCUGCUGACGAUGCGCCGCAUUUCUUCCUGUCAUCGGGUUGCAUGCGACUAAAUUGGCAGUUUAGGUGCUGGGUUCCUGCAAAUCCUUGUGGUUUGAGUCCUGGUUUCCAACUGCUGUUGUGGUCGUUGAAAUUACGAGUAGGCGCUUGGCACGGUCAAAUGAUUUCGCGAGUUGGGUGCUUAUGAUAUGUGGACGGGUAACCGUAGCAUGUUGUCUGUACCUGCUGUCAGUGAGAUUAUGUUUUGGCACUGCUCUGAUUGCAAUCUAAAGCAUGCGUGGUCUGCCUGUCCCGUCUUGAAACACGGACCAAGGAGUCUAACAUGUGCGCGAGUCAUUGGGAAUGAAAACCCAAAGGCGUAAUGAAAGUGAAGAUUCGAUUGCGAAUUUGAGGAGAGAUCCCGGCUCUGUAUGGCAUUCCGAAAGGUUUGUUGUGCAGGGUGGGCGCAUCUCCGGGACGUCUAUACCUCUGAAGGUGGGGCGUACCUAGAGCGUACACGUUGGGACCCGAAAGAU